GGGUGGGGUAGAGGCGCGAUUUAUAUUAGUACCCAUGUGGAGGCUGGAAGCCUAUGAAAUAUGGUGAAAGGAUACAUCGCCGAAGUUUCAGAUACCAAAAUCUGUUGCUGGGUCUACAUCGAAUAGGUGUAGGACUGUCAUCAUUGUACUUGCUCGGUACUUUGAUGUUGUGCUAUCUCCACG
rnacentral:ncRNA from 2 species